rnacentral:rRNA from 1 species
GACGAACGCUGGCGGCGUGCCUAAUACAUGCAAGUAGAACGCUGAAGAGAGGAGCUUGCUCUUCUUGGAUGAGUUGCGAACGGGUGAGUAACGCGUAGGUAACCUGCCUUGUAGCGGGGGAUAACUAUUGGAAACGAUAGCUAAUACCGCAUAACAAUAGGUGACACAUGUCAUUUAUUUGAAAGGGGCAAUUGCUCCACUACAAGAUGGACCUGCGUUGUAUUAGCUAGUAGGUGAGGUAACGGCUCACCUAGGCGACGAUACAUAGCCGACCUGAGAGGGUGAUCGGCCUCACUGGGACUGAGACACGGCCCAGACUCCUACGGGAGGCAGCAGUAGGGAAUCUUCGGCAAUGGGGGCAACCCUGACCGAGCAACGCCGCGUGAGUGAAGAAGGUUUUCGGAUCGUAAAGCUCUGUUGUAAGUCAAGAACGAGUGUGAGAGUGGAAAGUUCACACUGUGACGGUAGCUUACCAGAAAGGGACGGCUAACUACGU